UAAAGAAUACCUUUGGGAAACUCACCCCUUCCUGAUUUACUCUAGGUGAGUGCUGUUUGCAGGGGGUGGCUGUCAUCAGCUGUGCUGCCCUUCAUUUUCUUCAGAACUACCCAUUAAGAACGUUGCAGAUAGAAAUACAAUUUAUAGACGUGGCAUGACACCCAAUUCUAUGUGACAAGUAUAGCUGUUCUACAUAACCGAUUUGUAUCUGAACGUUUUUUAACAUUGCACCCUCCUGAACACAGCCAGUCCUCCGUCGUUGCAGCCGCACAGACUGAUUGACUGCCUGCCAAGGAGAACACUGCAGUUUUUUCAGGCUCUGUUUUGUCAGUCCAUUUAGCCAGGCUAUUGAGCUGAAGGUGAAGACUGACUGUUUCACACUGCAUUAGAAAGACAGCAUGCUAUAUGAUGUCUCAGUCAACCCUGAGCGUUAUUGCAGAAAAUACAGGUCAAGAUUUGCAUCGUCUCAGUCAACCCUGAGCGUUAUUGCAGAAAAUACAGGUCUUGACCUGUAUUAUAUAUAUUAUAUUUUAUAUUAUAUAUAUGCUUCGGAGUAAGUAGUCUACAGGAUCUAUUCACCUAGAGCCUACAUCUUUGUUUCUGUUGAAAGGGGAGAAUUUGUCUUCAAUGUUUUGACUGCUGCAGUGAUGGAUGCUGUGUUUCGUUCCUCUGUUGGUUGUCACAUAGUAUUGCUUUCACUGUUACAGGACUCUGUGUGUGAGGGUGAUGCAAAGGUGCUGUACUGCACUUAAUCAAUUCUACCACAUGGUGGCACCAUCAAGCCUAUACCCACUUCAACAUACAAUGAUUAACCUUAGUUUUGUUUGACUAUUCUUGGGACACUCCGUUACCAGGUUAUAGGUGCCUCUGACAGUUUCCUGUCUAAGGCUCUGAGGCAGGUGUCUGACAUACCUGAUUGUAAGACAGUUUGUUUGUCCCGUCAAUAAACCUCAAAGAUCAUUGCAGACAUCUGUGUUUCUUUUUCUGGGAUUGUCACCAUUUGAAGUGUCCUGGGGUGACGUAAGUAAACAAUAAUCUGGGCGCUGCUUCCAAUCUGCUUGGCGGUGUUUGGCACUGAGGGGAUAUGGGUGGUGUUUGGUAUCGUUGUAUCAAAUGAGACUGUUAAUAUCACAGCGAGAUUCCCUUACAUCAGUGAUGUGCUUCUUUGUUCCUAGUUGGCCUCUUUGCAUCUGAGUUCCGUCAUAUCGACUGUCACCAGCUCACCGUGCAGAACCAAGGCCUCAGCAAGAUACAGAGCAUGGGAUCAUAAUGGGACCCUAAUGUACAAUAGUACAGCAAACAGAACAGUAAUGUAAUAAUGAUAUAAUAAUUUAACAUUCAGCUCUGACUGAUGAAGCUCUACAUAAGUGUACAUAUUUUAAACCUAUUGUUGAAUAAACUGCUACUCUUUUUAUUUAAUAAAAUACUACUCAUUUUGAUGCGG